rnacentral:rRNA from 2 species
UACGGUUGCAAAGCUGAAACUUAAAGGAAUUGACGGAAGGGCACCACCAGGAGUGGAGCCUGUGGCUUAAUUUGACUCAACACGGGAAACCUCACCCGGUCCGGACACUGGAAGGAUUGACAGACUAAAGCUCUUUCUUGAUUCAGUGGGUGGUGGUGCAUGGCCGUUCUUAGUUGGUGGAGUGAUUUGUCUGGUUAAUUCCGAUAACGAACGAGACUCUCGCCUGCUAAAUAGUUUUCCAUACGUUACCUUAUGGAACCUAAACUUCUUAGAGGUACAAGUGGCGUUUAGCCACACGAAACAGAGCAAUAACAGGUCUGUGAUGCCCUUAGAUGUCCGGGGCCGCACAUGUGCUACAAUGAAUGCAUCAACGUGUAUCAGCCUCGCCCGAAAGGGUUGGGGAAUCCGCUGAACGGCAUUCUCAGUAGGGAUUGGGGAUUGCAAUUAUUUCCCAUGAACACGGAAUUCCCAGUAGGCGCCAGUCAUCAGCUGGCGUCGAUUGAGUCCCUGCCCUUUGUACACACCGCCCGUCGCUACUACCGAUCGCUCUUGUUAAUGAGCUUGUCGGAUUGGACCCGGUGAGCAGUCGUUGCGCUCCAUCUCCUCGCGGGGUGGGCCUUCGUCUGCGAGCUUUGGUGUAUGCCGAGAAGAUCGGCAAAUUAUCUGGAGUAGAGGAAGUAAAAGUCGUAACAAGGUAUCCGUAGGUGAACCUGCGGAUGUGGGUACUGGGUACGGACGUCCGCCUGGGUGCUUCUCGGUAAAAAGCCGCCGGGUGGCGAGUUGUUGACCUAGCCCUCGGAGCGUGCUUUGUUAUUAAAUAACAAAAACCCAACAACGCAAUCCGACCUCAGAUC